CUCACAUUGAAAAGAUUAGGAUGUUCAUCACAGCUCUAAUGGUUUCACUGGCAUAAAAUCUAUAGGCACCUCUGCACCAUUGUAUUUCAGAACAGAUGCAAUCAGCUUUAAUUUCUGUAGCACAUGAGGGAAAGUAGUAUUGUGCUUGUGCACGUGUCUAAUCACUGAACUGCCUGUGAAUGAUCGUCAUCGGCUCUAAAGCGAGCGCUCUGAAGAAUCAACUUGAGCAACAUGUAUGCAAAGAAUAUGUUGCCUCUUUUUUUUCUUUUUUCUUUUUUUUUGGCCGUCCACUCCAGCAAAAGACCAAAACCAGAAAGUUUGAGCAGUGUGUCAUUUAUUUAGUUUUGCUCUCUGGUGAUAGGCGUCCUGUCGUCGUCCCCCGCAAGUCUUUUUAUCCAGCUUUAUGAAUUAUAUUUUUUUUCUGUAGUAAAACGCCCUGUGCAUCUCUCACUUUUCUGAAAGUACACCUCAAAUUUCACCUUGGCAGCGGUGCUGCCCAGGAGCAAAAGAAAUGGAAAACAUUCAUUUUCUCAGCUUUCCACUGAGAGGGGAGAAGGAAAUGAUGCAGGGUGAGAGAGAGGUGCUUAAGUCAGUGGGUGAGCGCACGUGUGUGUGACUGUAACCGCGUAGGCAGGUGGCUUUGUGUUUGUGUGUCUGCGUACUGGGAGGGAAGACAGAAUGCUGCAAUUUAAUCGAUCUGCACGUUUGAAAGUUAUCUUCUUAAUUCUAAGGACUUCUUGAGCUCAUGUUGAAUACUGAACAGUGAAGAGUGAAGCCAAAGGAGGGUUAGAUUAAAAAAAAAAAAAAAAACGGAGACAAGUGAACAUGACAACUUAAGACGAAGCAGGCGGGAGGUGAGAAAAGCUUGAGGGAAGAUGCUGAAAUGAAGGAGAAGUCAAGUGCGAAGCUGUAGAAGAUUAGUGAGCUGCAGCUACACAACGGUGACGCUGAAGGAGACGCGAGGAGGAGGAGGUUGUUUUGGAACAGGAGCUCCUGGAGAGGUGAAAGAUGGAGGCUGGCAGGGUGGAGGAAAAAACACAUGAAAUGAAGAAAAUAUGGGCGUGAAAAACACAAGCUGCUCGCAGCAGGCGAUGUCUGACAGACUGUUAUGCCAUCCCCACCGCAAACCCCCCACCCUCGCCAACACUUGUAAUACCUGUCGAGGCGUGAGCCUACGUCUACGACCCCUCAGCUCCAGUGGACAUGAGGAAGAGCG
ensembl:lncRNA